UACGGAGGGGGCUAGCGUUGUUCGGAAUCAUUGGGCGUAUAGGGCGCGUAGGCGGCCGAUCAAGUCCGACGUGAAAUUCCUCGGCUCAACCGAGGGCCUGCGUCGGAUACUGCUCGGCUUGAGUCCCGGAGAGGGUAGUGGAAUUCCCAGUGUAGCGGUGAAAUGCGUAGAUACUGGGAGGAACACCGGUGGCGAAGGCGGCUACCUGGACGGGUACUGACGCUGAGGCGCGAAAGCUAGGGGAGCAAACAGG
rnacentral:rRNA from 1 species